GAUGAACGCUGGCGGCGUGCUUAACACAUGCAAGUCGAACGAUGAAGCCCAGCUUGCUGGGUGGAUUAGUGGCGAACGGGUGAGUAACACGUGAGUAACCUGCCCUUAACUCUGGGAUAAGCCUGGGAAACUGGGUCUAAUACCGGAUAGGAGCGUCCACCGCAUGGUGGGUGUUGGAAAGAUUUAUCGGUUUUGGAUGGACUCGCGGCCUAUCAGCUUGUUGGUGAGGUAAUGGCUCACCAAGGCGACGACGGGUAGCCGGCCUGAGAGGGUGACCGGCCACACUGGGACUGAGACACGGCCCAGACUCCUACGGGAGGCAGCAGUGGGGAAUAUUGCACAAUGGGCGCAAGCCUGAUGCAGCGACGCCGCGUGAGGGAUGUCGGCCUUCGGGUUGUAAACCUCUUUCAGUAGGGAAGAAGCGAAAGUGACGGUACCUGCAGAAGAAGCACCGGCUAACUACGUG
rnacentral:rRNA from 1 species